UACGUAGGGUGCGAGCGUUAAUCGGAAUUACUGGGCGUAAAGCGUGCGCAGGCGGUUGUGCAAGACAGAUGUGAAAUCCCCGGGCUUAACCUGGGAAUUGCAUUUGUGACUGUACGGCUAGAGUGUGUCAGAGGGGGGUAGAAUUCCACGUGUAGCAGUGAAAUGCGUAGAGAUGUGGAGGAAUACCGAUGGCGAAGGCAGCCCCCUGGGAUAACACUGACGCUCAUGCACGAAAGCGUGGGGAGCAAACAGG
rnacentral:rRNA from 1 species